rnacentral:tRNA from 1 species
GGGGGUAUAGCUCAGUUGGCUAGAGCGCAUCGUUGACAUCGAUGAGGUCACUGGUUCGAGCCCAGUUACUCCCACCA